UGCCUUUUAUUUGUCACAAAUUUCCGAAAUAUUCGAAAGACAGUAGACGGGAUUUUCAAUAUAAAAAUAACGACUUUCUCUCUCGCUUAGAAAAUCAGCGCAAUAUAAUUAUGAUGCACUCAGAACUGAAUCUGAAAUUAGGGACCCAACUCAUUAAUGAUCCAAUCGAUGAUGAGGGAAUGAUAAAGGCUGAACCGGAGCCAAUUGAUGAUGGCCAUGAGGCGGAUGACGAAAAUGAUUCUGGAGGUGAUUCUGAAGAUGAGCUUGAAGUGGACGAAUCUGACGAUGAGUUCAAAGAACGGGAGAAGGAGGAAGAUAGUGACGAGAUGGAUAUUGACAACCUAAGUCGCUCACUUAGUUUUUCCAAUUAUUUUUAAUGUUUCGAUCAAUGAUGCAUAUUUAUAGAUAGCAAUUGAUAAUCGUUUAAUUAUCGUUUAACACAUUACAUUUCUACAUUUCUGAAAGCAGCCGAGAAACUUAAAUUAUCGUUAAUUUUUGAGCAACUUGAUUCGAAAUUUAAACAAUCUGUAAGCCAAAAUUCCAAGUUUCACAACAAUGUUCCUAAUCCUCCCAAUGUGACACGUGCCAUGCAGCAGGCCAGCUCGGUCGAUCGCAUUGUUUUCCACUUCUACAACGCCAGAUCACAUUUCGGAGAAGAAACAAGAUCUCACCGUUCUGGAUUGUGAGACCACACCAACUGCCAUGGCAUGCUCGUGAAUCGUAGCGAUGAAACCAGCUGGAAUUUCCCCCUAACUUGCAUUUCUUCCCAGUAAAAUGUGGACCACACACGAAAAGAAAGCUCCUCCCUCUGCACAUAAAUAUAAGACG